AUUGAACGCUAGCGGCAUGCUUUACACAUGCAAGUCGAACGAGUGGCGGACGGGUGAGUAAUGUAUGGGAACGUGCCCGAUAGAGGGGGAUAACUACUGGAAACGGUGGCUAAUACCGCAUACUAUCGGAUGUGCCGAUAUGGGAUUAGCUAGUUGGUGGGGUAAAGGCUCACCAAGGCGACGAUCCCUAGCUGGUCUGAGAGGACGACCAGCCACACGGGAACUGAGACACGGUCCAGACUCAUACGGGAGGCAGCAGUGGGGAAUUUUGGACAAUGGGCGAAAGCCUGAUGCAGCCAUGCCGCGUGUAUGAUGAAGGCCUUCGGGUUGUAAAGUACUUUCAGCAGGGAGGCGUUACCUGUAGAAGAAGCACCGGCUAACUCCGUGCCAGCAGCCGCGGUAAUUC
rnacentral:rRNA from 1 species